rnacentral:rRNA from 15 species
UAUUGAACCGAUGAUUUUUAGUGGUAAAAACAUCGUCCAUCAGAUAAAAGCUACCCUAGGGAUAACAGGUCAAUUACAUCGGCGAGCACAUAUUAAAGAUGUAGUUUGACACCUCGAUGUUGGCUAAGCUUAUCCUGUCGGUCGUAUCAGGUGACAAGGGUUCAGGUGUUCACUGAUUAAAAAGCUACUUUAGCUGAGUUCAGAACGUCGUGAGACAGUUCGGUCCCUAUCUGUUGUGGGCGUUAGAAAUUUGAGAGGACCUGCCUCUAGUACGAGAGGACCGGGGUGGACGAACCUCUAGUGUACCUGUUGUGGCGCCAGCUGCAUCGCAGGGUAGCUACGUUCGGAUGAGAUAAGCGCUGAAAGCAUCUAAGCACGAAACUCACCUCAAGAUGAGAUUUCUUUUAAGGGCCGUGGAAGACUACCACGUUGAUAGGCUACAGGUGUAAAGACAGCGAUGUCAAAGCCAAGUAGUACUAAUUACCC